rnacentral:rRNA from 1 species
UACGUAGGGUGCAAGCGUUGUCCGGAAUUAUUGGGCGUAAAGAGCUCGUAGGCGGUCUGUCGCGUCGGCUGUGAAAUCCAGGAGCUCAACUCCGGGUCUGCAGUCGAUACGGGCAAACUGGAGUACUGCAGGGGAGACUGGAAUUCCUGGUGUAGCGGUGAAAUGCGCAGAUAUCAGGAGGAACACCGGUGGCGAAGGCGGGUCUCUGGGCAGUAACUGACGCUGAGGAGCGAAAGCGUGGGGAGCGAACAGG